rnacentral:rRNA from 1 species
CGGCGAGUGAAGCGGCAACAGCUCAAAUUUGAAAUCUGGCUCUCGGGCCCGAGUUGUAAUUUGUAGAGGAUACUUUUGAUGCGGUGCCUUCCGAGUUCCCUGGAACGGGACGCCAUAGAGGGUGAGAGCCCCGUCUGGUUGGAUGCCAAAUCUCUGUAAAGUUCCUUCAACGAGUCGAGUAGUUUGGGAAUGCUGCUCUAAAUGGGAGGUAUAUGUCUUCUAAAGCUAAAUACCGGCCAGAGACCGAUAGCGCACAAGUAGAGUGAUCGAAAGAUGAAAAGCACUUUGAAAAGAGAGUUAAAAAGUACGUGAAAUUGUUGAAAGGGAAGCGUUUAUGACCAGACUUGGGCUUGGUUAAUCAUCUGGGGUUCUCCCCAGUGCACUUUUCCAGUCCAGGCCAGCAUCAGUUUUCCCCGGGGGAUAAAGGCGGCGGGAAUGUGGCUCUCUUCGGGGAGUGUUAUAGCCCACCGUGUAAUACCCUGGGGGGGACUGAGGUUCGCGCAUCUGCAAGGAUGCUGGCGUAAUGGUCAUCAACGACCCGUCUUGAAACACGGACCAAGGAGUCGUCUUCGUAUGCAAGUGUUCGGGUGUCAAACCCCUACG